GUUGAACGCUGGCGGCGUGCCUAACACAUGCAAGUCGAACGAGUGGCGGACGGGUGAGUAAUUUCUGGGCACCUGCCUGAUGGAGGGGUCUGACUGCUGGAACCGGUGGCUAAUCCCGCAUACCGUCCGAUGUGCCCAGGUGGGUUGAGCUUGUUGGUGGGGUAACGGCUCACCAAGGCGACGAUCCCUAGCUGGUCUGAGAGGAUGACCAGCCACACUGGAACUGAGACACGGUCCAGACUCCUACGGGAGGCAGCAGUGGGGAAUAUUGGACAAUGGGCGAAAGCCUGAUCGAGCAACGCCGCGUGGAUGAAGAAGGUUUUCGGGUUGUAAAGCACUGUCAGCGGGGAGGCGGUACCCGCAGAAGAAGCAACGGCUAACUCCGUGCCAGCAGCCGCGGUAAUAC
rnacentral:rRNA from 1 species